rnacentral:rRNA from 1 species
CGUAGGGACCGAGCGUUGUCCGGAUUCAUUGGGCGUAAAGAGCUCGUAGGCGGCUAUUCAAGUCGAACGUGAAAUCUCGGAGCUCAACUCCGAGCCUGCGUUUGAUACUGGAUGGCUAGAGUCUGGUAGGGGGAUCUGGAAUUCCUGGUGUAGCGGUGGAAUGCGCAGAUAUCAGGGGGAACACCGGUGGCGAAGGCGGGAUCCUGGGCCAGUACUGACGCUGAGGAGCGAAAGCGUGGGGAGCAAACAGGAUUAGAUACCCUGGUAGUCCACGCCGUAAACGAUGGGCGCUAGGUGUGGGAGGUCAUCGACUCCUUCCGUGCCGCAGCUAACGCAUUAAGCGCCCCGCCUGGGGAGUACGGCCGCAAGGCUA